rnacentral:rRNA from 1 species
UACAGAGGGUGCGAGCGUUGUCCGGAAUCACUGGGCGUAAAGGGCGCGUAGGUGGCGAUCCAAGUCCAUGGUGAAAGCUCGAUGCUCAACAUCGAGUCGGCCACGGAUACUGGGUUGCUUGAGCACUGUGAGGGGCAGAGUGGAAUUCCGGGUGUAGCGGUGGAAUGCGUAGAGAUCCGGAAGAACACCGGUGGCGAAGGCGGUCUGCUGGGCAGUUGCUGACACUGAGGCGCGACAGCGUGGGGAGCAACAGG